rnacentral:rRNA from 1 species
CUGGCGGCGUGCCUAAUACAUGCAAGUCGAACGGCUUUUCUAUGGAAGCUUGCUUCCACUGAGAAGAUAGUGGCGAACGGGUGAGUAACACGUGGGUAACCUGCCCAUAAGAGGGGGAGUAACAUCCGGAAACGGGUGCUAAUACCGCAUAGUUUUCUUGAUCGCAUGAUUGAGAAAGGAAAGACGGCCUUUGUGCUGUCGCUUAUGGAUGGACCCGCGGCGUAUUAGUUAGUUGGUGAGGUAACGGCUCACCAAGACGAUGAUACGUAGCCGACCUGAGAGGGUGAUCGGCCACAUUGGGACUGAGACACGGCCCAAACUCCUACGGGAGGCAGCAGUAGGGAAUCUUCCGCAAUGGACGAAAGUCUGACGGAGCAACGCCGCGUGAGUGAAGAAAGGUUUUCGGAUCGUAAAACUCUGUUGUCAGAGAAGAACAAGUUGGAGAGUAACUGCUCCAGCCUUGACGGUAUCUGACCAGAAAGCCACGGCUAACUACGUGCCAGCAGCGGC